UACGGGGGGGAGCAAGCGUUGUUCGGAUUUACUGGGCGUAAAGGGCGCGUAGGCGGCCAGCACAAGUCAGUUGUGAAAUCUCCGGGCUUAACUCGGAAAGGUCAACUGAUACUGUGCGGCUAGAGUGCAGAAGGGGCAACUGGAAUUCUCGGUGUAGCGGUGAAAUGCGUAGAUAUCGGGAGGAACACCAGUGGCGAAGGCGACUUCCUGGCCUGUUCUUGACGCUGAGGCGCGAAAGCUAGGGGAGCAAACGGG
rnacentral:rRNA from 1 species